rnacentral:rRNA from 1 species
CCCCGGCUAACUUCGUGCCAGCAGCCGCGGUAAUACUAAGGGGGCUAGCGUUGUUCGGAAUUACUGGGCGUAAAGGGCGCGUAGGCGGUUGUUCAAGUCAGGUGUGAAAUCCCCGGGCUCAACUCGGGGGCUGCAUUUGAGACUGAGCGGCUUGAGUUCGGGAGAGGUGAGUGGAAUUCCCAGUGUAGAGGUGAAAUUCGUAGAUAUUGGGAAGAACACCUGUGGCGAAGGCGGCUCACUGGACCGUGACUGACGCUGAGGCGCGAAAGCUUGGGGAGCAAACAGGAUUAAAUACCCUGGUAGUCCACGCCGUAAACGAUGAGUGCUAGACGUUGGGG